GAGCUAUUACACGACACUAUGCUUUCCACUGUAAAAUAUUUUCACGUUACCUGGUACAGUUGCCUUUUCUACCAAAUUUAUAUUUUUCACCAUUGAAUGAAUUUCAUCUGUUCGUACGCCAAUAGAGGACAAUUUCUGCUCCACAUUCUCAUGAAACACACUGUUGGCUUGCAACUCCUUCACAUGACAUUCAUGUAAUUCUUGAACUCUCUCCGUAGGGAAAUCAUCCUCGCUCAUUUGACCAAUAGUAUCCACAAAAGCGGUAUCAAUAUUAACUGCUGUUAAUGCGUUCGUUACUAGCUGAACAUAGUUGUCAAAAUC